CACUCUUGCACCACCUACUGACCCAUCUGUGCCCAUCUGGAUUAUUAUAUUUGGUGUGAUAUUCUGCAUCGUCCUUGUGGCAACCAUGCUAUUGAUUUUUUCAGGAAUCCGGCAACAUAGAAGGAAAUACUAAAAUCCAAAACUCAUUUGCAUCAAAAGGAGAGAAGAUGCUUGUCUUGAGACAAACAGAUUCUUCCUAUGGGAAUCAGACAGGAAUUGAAGACACAUUCCUUUUUUGAGGCAUAACCAGUUGAAAUGUGUUUCUAUUUUUAAUGUAACAUUUAAAA